rnacentral:rRNA from 1 species
UACGUAGGGUGCGAGCGUUGUCCGGAAUUAUUGGGCGUAAAGAGCUCGUAGGCGGCCUGUCACGUCGGAUGUGAAAACCCGGGGCUCAACCCCGGGCCUGCAUUCGAUAUGGGCAGGCUAGAGUUCGGCAGGGGAGACUGGAAUUCCUGGUGUAGCGGUGAAAUGCGCAGAUAUCAGGAGGAACACCGGUGGCGAAGGCGGGUCUCUGGGCCGAUACUGACGCUGAGGAGCGAAAGCGUGGGGAGCGAACAGG